AUUGAACGCUGGCGGCAGGCCUAACACAUGCAAGUCGAGCGGAGGAAGGGAGCUUGCUCCUGGAUUCAGCGGCGGACGGGUGAGUAAUGCCUAGGAAUCUGCCUGGUAGUGGGGGAUAACGUCCGGAAACGGGCGCUAAUACCGCAUACGUCCUGAGGGAGAAAGUGGGGGAUCUUCGGACCUCACGCUAUCAGAUGAGCCUAGGUCGGAUUAGCUAGUUGGUGGGGUAAAGGCCUACCAAGGCGACGAUCCGUAACUGGUCUGAGAGGAUGAUCAGUCACACUGGAACUGAGACACGGUCCAGACUCCUACGGGAGGCAGCAGUGGGGAAUAUUGGACAAUGGGCGAAAGCCUGAUCCAGCCAUGCCGCGUGUGUGAAGAAGGUCUUCGGAUUGUAAAGCACUUUAAGUUGGGAGGAAGGGCAGUAAGUUAAUACCCUGCUGUUUUGACGUUACCAACAGAAUAAGCACCGGCUAACUUCGUG
rnacentral:rRNA from 1 species